rnacentral:rRNA from 1 species
AUUGAACGCUGGCGGAAUGCUUUACACAUGCAAGUCGAACGGCAGCACGGGGCGAACCUGGUGGCGAGUGGCGAACGGGUGAGUAAUACAUCGGAACGUGCCCAAUCGUGGGGGAUAACGUAGCGAAAGUUACGCUAAUACCGCAUACGAUCUACGGAUGAAAGCGGGGGAUCGCAAGACCUCGCGCGAAUGGAGCGGCCGAUGUCAGAUUAGGUAGUUGGUGGGGUAAAGGCUCACCAAGCCGACGAUCUGUAGCUGGUCUGAGAGGACGACCAGCCACACUGGGACUGAGACACGGCCCAGACUCCUACGGGAGGCAGCAGUGGGGAAUUUUGGACAAUGGGCGCAAGCCUGAUCCAGCCAUUCCGCGUGCAGGA